UACGAAGGGGGCUAGCGUUGCUCGGAAUUACUGGGCGUAAAGCGCACGUAGGCGGCUUUCUAAGUCGGGGGUGAAAUCCUGGAGCUCAACUCCAGAACUGCCUUCGAUACUGGAGAGCUUGAGUCCGGAAGAGGUGAGUGGAACUCCUAGUGUAGAGGUGGAAUUCGUAGAUAUUAGGAAGAACACCAGUGGCGAAGGCGGCUCAGCUGGUCCGGUACUGACGCUGAGGUGCGAAAGCGUGGGGAGCAAACAGG
rnacentral:rRNA from 1 species